rnacentral:misc_RNA from 1 species
CCUCUAAACUAUGAAACGGUUGCGUUAGCGGUGACUGCCUGUUUUCCAGAGAUUCGCACACAAAAUGGUAUCGGUGUUUCUCGGAAAGCGUCAUUGGUUAUCCUGGCCAGUACGGCGGACGUCGUGGUUACUAUGGCAACGGCCGUGGCAGCCGAGGAUACGGACGCAGUAUGAACGGAUACAACAACGACUAUGGCUUCGGUAACGGCGCCUACCGCGGCUACGGAAAUCGUGGAAUGUACGGCGGCUACGACCGGUCUCCCUACGGCUACGGCAGCCGCGGCUACGGCAGCCGCGGCUACGGCGGGCUCGGCAGGCGCGGUGGAUCCUACGGCGGCUACGGCGGCUACGGCCGGCAGUACGGCGGGAUGGGUGCGUUCGGGGGACGUGCUGGGGCGUACGGCGGCGGCUACAGUGGGGGAUACUAUUGAGGCUCCCGUGUCUACAGCACGAAUCACACGAACCACAUCUUGAAAGGCAUUGUUUAAGUCUAUCAUGUUCUAUCAUUGGUUAUCUCUUUGUGACAGCGUCAUUGGCUGCACUUGCGUACGAAAGUGCAAACACGACUUAAUGCCAUUGCAUGAUUCGCGUUAGCAUGAUGCAAGUACGUAUGGAAAUACAUUUCUAAUGCACGAA